rnacentral:rRNA from 1 species
AUUGAACGCUGGCGGCAUGCCUUACACAUGCAAGUCGAACGGUAACGGGCCUUCGGGUGCCGACGAGUGGCGAACGGGUGAGUAAUGCAUCGGAACGUACCUUUCAGUGGGGGAGUAACGUAGCGAAAGUUACGCUAAUACCGCAUAUUCUGUGAGCAGGAAAGCAGGGAUCGCAAGACCUUGCGCUGAUUGAGCGGCCGAUGUCAGAUUAGCUAGUUGGUGAGGUAAAGGCUCACCAAGGCGACGAUCUGUAGCGGGUCUGAGAGGAUGAUCCGCCACACUGGAACUGAGACACGGUCCAGACUCCUACGGGAGGCAGCAGUGGGGGAAUUUUGCUCAAUGGGGGAAACCCUGAAGCAGCCAUGCCGCGUGAGUGAAGAAGGCCUUCGGUUGUAAGACUCUUC